AGAACUAUAGCGCGGAUAGUAAUUGACAAAGACAUAUCCCCGAGCCUGAUCAAUGCAGUGGAAAAGUGGGUUCCAGUCGAACAUCGCCAGCAUGAAACCCGGCAGGGUGUUGGCGACAAACAUCUUGCCCGAGGCGAUCAUAUUGGCCCGUUG
rnacentral:ncRNA from 1 species